rnacentral:misc_RNA from 1 species
GAUGAAGAACCUAGUGAAAUGCGAUACGUAAUGUGAAUUGCAGAAUUCAGUGAAUCAUCGAGUCUUUGAACGCACAUUGCGCCCCCUGGUAUUCCGGGGGGCAUGCCUGUCCGAGCGUCAUUGCUGCCCUCAAGCACGGCUUGUGUGUUGGGCCUCCGUCCUCCUCCCGGGGGACGGGCCCGAAAGGCAGCGGCGGCACCGCGUCCGGUCCUCGAGCGUAUGGGGCUUCGUCACCCGCUCUUGUAGGCCCGGCCGGCGCUUGCCGACACAUCAAUCUUUUUUCCAGGUUGACCUCGGAUCAGGUAGGGAUACCCGCUGAACUUAAGCAUAUCAAUAAGCGGAGGA